rnacentral:lncRNA from 1 species
CUUUGCAGAACUCACAGUGAUGGUUAAUCUUCAUUGCUUGUCCAGAUUUGGAAUCACAUGGUGAACACAUCUCUGAGCCUGACAGUGAGGAUGUUUCCAUGCUGGGAUCAAAGGCGUGAACCACCACCUGGCUCCAGCGAGGUUUAACUGGGAGGGAAGACCAAACUUGAAGAACGCAGAUGCAAUAUGACAGCAGCCAUGAGAAGUCCUCCUGCAGUGACUUCCCCACCGUGAUGGCACCUUCUCAGCCCAAAGGCCAAAAUGUUAUUUCUUUAAGUUGCUUUUGCCAUGGAUUUUCUCACAGCAACAAUAAAAGUAAUGAAUGUACUUAGCUACAAAAACUAGCUGGAUUUUUGCUGUUUUGUUAGAUGCUGAAGAACAGAGGGUCCCGAGAAAGCUACACAAACCCUCCAUCACUGAACUAUAUCCCCACCCCACCCCUGCAGCCCAAGCUGGCCUCACACUUUCAGUCCUCCAGCCUCAGGCUUACCAGUGCUGGGCUCACAGAGGACGCUGUAGAGCCAUGAGCACUGGCUGGGUGAGCAUUGGUGCAGCUGGAGCACCGCAGCGCGCGCAGCCGCAGCUGGGUAGACACUGCGGUGUUGAGG